GAUGAACGCUGGCGGCGUGCCUAAUACAUGCAGGUCGAGCGAACAGAUGAGGAGCUUGCUCCUCUGACGUUAGCGGCGGACGGGUGAGUAACACGUGGAUAACCUACCUAUAAGACUGGGAUAACUACGGAAACCGGAGCUAAUACCGGAUAAUAUAUUGAACCGCAUGGUUCAAUAGUGAAAGACGGUUUUGCUGUCACUUAUAGAUGGAUCCGCGCCGCAUUAGCUAGUUGGUAAGGUAACGGCUUACCAAGGCAACGAUGCGUAGCCGACCUGAGAGGGUGAUCGGCCACACUGGAACUGAGACACGGUCCAGACUCCUACGGGAGGCAGCAGUAGGGAAUCUUCCGCAAUGGGCGAAAGCCUGACGGAGCAACGCCGCGUGAGUGAUGAAGGUCUUCGGAUCGUAAAACUCUGUUAUUAGGGAAGAACAAAUGUGUAAGUAACUAUGCACGUCUUGACGGUACCUAAUCAGAAAGCCACGGCUAACUACGUG
rnacentral:rRNA from 1 species